rnacentral:rRNA from 1 species
ACAUGCAAGUCGAACGCUUCUUUCUUAUCGAACUUCGGUUCACCRAGAAAGAAGAGUGGCGGACGGGUGAGUAACACGUGGGUAACCUGCCCUUUAGCGGGGGAUAACACUUGGAAACAGGUGCUAAUACCGCAUAAUCUUUUUUCUCGCAUGAGAGAAAAGUGAAAGACGCUUUUGCGUCACUAGAGGAUGGACCCGCGCUGCAUUAGCUAGUUGGUGAGGUAAUGGCUCACCAAGGCCACGAUGCAUAGCCGACCUGAGAGGGUGAUCGGCCACACUGGGACUGAGACACGGCCCAGACUCCUACGGGAGGCAGCAGUAGGGAAUCUUCGGCAAUGGACGAAAGUCUGACCGAGCAACGCCGCGUGAGUGAAGAAGGUUUUCGGAUCGUAAAACUCUGUUGUUAGAGAAGAAUAAGGAUGAGAGUAGAAUGUUCAUCCCUUGACGGUAUCUAACCAGAAAGCCACGGCUAACUACGUGCCAGCAGCCGCGGUAAUACGUAGGUGGCAAGCGUUGUCCGGAUUUAUUGGGCGUAAAGCGAGCGCAGGCGGUUUAUUAAGUCUGAUGUGAAAGCCCCCGGCUUAACCGGGGAGGGUCAUUGGAAACUGGUAGACUUGAGUGCAGAAGAGGAGAGUGGAAUUCCAUGUGUAGCGGUGAAAUGCGUAGAUAUAUGGAGGAACACCAGUGGCGAAGGCGACUCUCUGGUCUGUAACUGACGCUGAGGCUCGAAAGCGUGGGGAGCGAACAGGAUUAGAUACCCUGGUAGUCCACGCCGUAAACGAUGAGUGCUAAGUGUUGGAGGGUUUCCGCCCUUCAGUGCUGCAGCAAACGCAUUAAGCACUCCGCCUGGGGAGUACGGUCGCAAGACUGAAACUCAAAGGAAUUGACGGGGGCCCGCACAAGCGGUGGAGCAUGUGGUUUAAUUCGAAGCAACGCGAAGAACCUUACCAGGUCUUGACAUCCUUUGACCACUCUAGAGAUAGAGCUUUCCCUUCGGGGACAAAGUGACAGGUGGUGCAUGGUUGUCGUCAGCUCGUGUCGUGAGAUGUUGGGUUAAGUCCCGCAACGAGCGCAACCCUUAUUGUUAGUUGCCAUCAUU